rnacentral:tRNA from 1 species
GUAAUGAUGGUUCAUUGGUAGAAUUCUCACCUGCCAUGCAGGAGAACUGGGUUCGAUUCCUGGUCAGUGUA